UUCACACAUUUAUCUUCAUGUAUCAACAUGAAUGUAUUUGCUGAUUUGUUGACCUUCCUCGAUCAAGAUAAGUUGCAACAAUUUUUACAAGAAACUCCAUUUCGAUAUUUUCAUGAUUUACAUUACAUAAAAAUUCAAUGUCAAUUGUUGCGCCAUAUUUUUCUUCUUGAAUAUGAAAAUGGCAAGGAUGACAUGUUCAUUAUCAAUGUAGGUACAAAGUUACAUUUUGGCUUAAAAGAGUUUGUCGUUGUAACCGGUCUAAAAUCUGAUUCAAUUUCUGAAUUUGUUUCUGAUCCAUCUGUUCCAAAUAGAUUGAUUGCAGAAAAUUUCAGAGACAUGGACAAAGUCCCAAAGUCAAAUUUUUACAACAAGUUUAAAUUGGAAAACUUUUGGGAAGAACAUGACCGUUUAAAAAUCAGAAUUCUGUACUUUCAUUUCGUCAUUCCUUACUGCAUCAGACCCUUCAAAAGCAACCAUUCCCAAGUUAUAUUUUGAUUUUGUAGAGUCUGGCCAGUAUGCAACAUUUCCAUGGGCAAAUGAGUGUUUUAAUUUAACACUUAAAGCGUGCAGUCAAAAAUUUAAAAAAAAAUCUUCAUCAUUCAAGUUUAGCCAGUUUCAUAUAGCAUUGCAUGUAUGGUUUUAUGAGUGUUGUAAUCCAUAUGACAACACAAUUGCUUUCCAUGCUUCAGAUCGCACACCGCGUAUCUUGAACUUGAAUACAAUAAAUUACGUUAUCUUUUUUGAAUGAUAUGAAGAAAGCGAUUUUCAGAACACAUGACAAUCAGAAGAGUUAAAUGUCAUGGAUGAGACCAUUUUGAAUCAGUCUCCCGCUAACCAAGAUUCUGAAGAGGAAGGAACAUCGGUAAAGCAGGGCGUUGAAGUUGAAGGAAAAUACGUUGAGUUAAAAGCUGAAAUUGCAGAGGUUAAGGCGGAAUUGAAAGAGCUCAAAGCUAAUCUUGACAAGCACAUGGUUGAAAUAAAGAAUUACGUUGAUAAUUCGAGUAAGCUGAAAUUGAAGAAAUUAGAUUGUCAAGAGGUCAACAACGGGAUGAUGCCACUCCAAAUGUUGCACAGUCUGAACAUAUUAGAAUAUCAAGAGGUCAACCAACUUCGGAUGCACAACAACGGGAUUAUGUCACUCCAAAUGUUGGUCUGAUAAACUUUCGACUGAACAACCUUCGAUUUAAUGGGUGAAUAUGUUCACAUUUCAAACAAAGAUGAUGAAGGUCAAAAGUCAACUGCUGAAUUUUUGAAUGCCGACUUACCUGGAUCAUCGACUUCAAAACCACCUACUUUGGAUGAUUACCCUGAUUUUACCAUGACACAAAUUAUUGCACUUGAUCUGAUUUUAAACGCUAUCACAACACCAGAUGUGCAAACAAGACACAGAAAUCCCGACAAAUAUGAAUCUUCUCCUUAUAUUUGACUGUCGAAAGCCGAAAGAAGUUCAAAGAAAGUUCCAAUUUUUUUCAGAAUAAAGCAUCCAUUCUCAAGUCACAAUGGAUUCGAUGUUCCAGCUGAUACGAUUGACCAGUUCAACAAAUGGCUUAUGAAAGACGUUUCGAAAAGGAAAUCAGCAACACACAAAGGUGAAAAAUACCUUUCAACCUCAAAUGGACUUAAACGUUGUCAAAAUUGCAGAAUUUUUUUUUCUACAUAAUGACUCAACCGGGCAGACCUUAGGAGGAUGGGGUAAGACAACUAAUGUAUUAUUAAUGUAUGAAUUAUGAAUGACAUAAAUUUGAAUUUACAAUAAGUUUGUAUGAAAUGUAUAUGAAAAAUGUAUAUACGGUUGAAUUGUGUAUAUACUGAAUGCAUUUACUAA